rnacentral:lncRNA from 1 species
UUUUUGAUGUAGGCAUUUAACGCUAUGUCAGUGGAUAAAAGUCCCCCAAUAGUAUUGCAUUGCUGUCUAUCUCAUCUCUUAGGUCUAAUAAUAAUUGUUUUUAUAAAUUUGGGAGCUUCAGUAUUGGGUGCAUAUAUAUUUGGGAUUGUGAUACUUUCCUGUUGGACUAGGCCUUUUAUCAUUAUGUAAUGUGCCUCUUUGUCUUUUUUAACUGCUGUUGCUUUUAAGUUUGUUUUGUCUGAUACAAGAAUAGCUACUCCUGCUUGCUUUUGGUGUCCAUUUGCAUGGAAUAUAUUUUUCUACCCCUUUACCUUAAGUUUAUGUGAAUCCUUAUGUGUCAGGUGAGUCUCUUGGAAACAGCAGAUAUUUGUUUGCUGAAUUCUCAACCAUUCUGCCAUUCUGUGUCUUUUCUUUUUCCUUUUAAUUGCAUUUAUUUUAAUGCUGAAUUUACUCCCAUGCCAUAAGUUUUUGUUUCAUCAGUUUCUUCUGGGAUAUCUUUUUCUUCUGGGCA